UACAGAGGGUGCGAGCGUUGUUCGGAAUUACUGGGCGUAAAGCGCGCGCAGGCGGCCCUUUAAGUCUACCCGGGAAAUGCCGGAGCUCAACUCCGUGCACGCCGGGGGAUACUGGGGGGCUGGAGACAUGUAGAGGCAAGCGGAAUUCCGGGUGUAGCGGUGGAAUGCGUAGAGAUCCGGAAGAACACCUGAGGCGAAGGCGGCUUGCUGGGCAUGAUCUGACGCUGAGGCGCGAAAGCGUGGGGAGCAAACAGG
rnacentral:rRNA from 1 species